GACGAACGCUGGUGGCGUGCCUAAUACAUGCAAGUCGAGCGGACCAAUAGAAGCUUGCUUCUGUUGGUUAGCGGCGGACGGGUGAGUAACACGUGGGCAACCUGCCUGUAAGACUGGGAUAACUUCGGGAAACCGGAGCUAAUACCGGAUAACUCAUCCCCUCGCAUGAGGGGAUGCUGAAAGUCGGUUUACGCUGACACUUACAGAUGGGCCUGCGGCGCAUUAGCUAGUUGGUGAGGUAAUGGCUCACCAAGGCGACGAUGCGUAGCCGACCUGAGAUGAUGAUCGGCCACACUGGGACUGAGACACGGCCCAGCCUCCUACGGGAGGCAGCAGUAGGGAAUCUUCCACAAUGGACGAAAGUCUGAUGGAGCAACGCCGCGUGAGCGAAGAAGGCCUUCGGGUCGUAAAGCUCUGUUGUUAGGGAAGAACAAGUAUCGGAGUAACUGCCGGUACCUUGACGGUACCUAACCAGAAAGCCACGGCUAACUACGUGCCAGCCGCCGCGGUAA
rnacentral:rRNA from 1 species